AUGGGUGCUGAUGAUGUGAACUUGGACAAACUGCCGAAGGAUGCCUUUGUGGUUUAUCAGGGGCACCAUGGUGAUCAUGGGGCAUAUCAUGCCAAUGUCAUUUUGCCAGCAGCGGCAUUCACUGAAAAGGAGGGGACGUAUGAAAAUACAGAAGGGUGUGCACAACAGACUUUGCCAGCAGUUCCAACAGUUGGUGAUGCUAGGGACGACUGGAAGAUAAUUCGGGCUCUCUCUGAAGUUGCAGGGGUGCGCUUGCCUUAUGAUACAAUUGGGGCCAUCCGAUCCCGGAUCAGAAAUGUAGCACCAAACCUCUUGAGCAUGGAUGAGAGAGAGCCCGCUACAUUUGGGGCUUCAUUGAAGCUAGAGUGCACUCAAUAUGUAAGUUCGACUCCAUUUAAGGCUGCUGUAGAUAAUUUUUACAUGACUGAUUCCAUUACCC
rnacentral:misc_RNA from 1 species